GAGCGUGUGGCGUGCACAGCGAUUUGCGUGAUUCUUAAUCACUAGGUUGAAGGUUCGAUUCCUUCCGCGCUCACCA
rnacentral:tRNA from 1 species